UACGAAGGGAGCUAGCGUUGUUCGGAAUUACUGGGCGUAAAGAGUGUGUAGGCGGUGUUCCCAGUCUGUUGUGAAAUCUCCCGGCUUAACUGGGAGGGUGCAGCGGAAACUAGAAUGCUAGAGGGUGGGAGAGGUAAGCGGAAUUCCUGGUGUAGCGGUGAAAUGCGUAGAUAUCAGGAGGAACACCUGUGGUGUAGACAGCUUACUGGACCACUUCUGACGCUGAGACACGAAAGCGUGGGUAGCAAACAGG
rnacentral:rRNA from 1 species